CGUGCCCUUCACUGCGGAAUAGCCACUGGAAACGGUGAGUAAUACCGCAUACGCCCUUCGGGGGAAAGAUUUAUCGGAGAAGGAUCGGCCCGCGUUAGAUUAGAUAGUUGGUGGGGUAACGGCCUACCAAGUCUACGAUCUAUAGCUGGUUUUAGAGGAUGAUCAGCAACACUGGGACUGAGACACGGCCCAGACUCCUACGGGAGGCAGCAGUGGGGAAUCUUGGACAAUGGGCGCAAGCCUGAUCCAGCCAUGCCGCGUGAGUGAUGAAGGCCUUAGGGUCGUAAAGCUCUUUCGCCAGAGAUGAUAAUGACAGUAUCUGGUAAAGAAACCCCGGCUAACUCCGUGCCA
rnacentral:rRNA from 1 species